rnacentral:tRNA from 1 species
GCCGGCGUAGCUCAGCGGUAGAGCAAUGCUUUUGUAAAGCAGAGGUCGGGAGUUCGAUCCUCUCCGCCGGCA